GGAAGGAUCAUUAACACACACAAAAAAAUCCACUUUUUGAAAAUGGUUUUUUUUUGUUUGGGGUGGUCAAAAAACCCUCAAUUCAAAUUUUAAAAACCAUUUUUAAAGCACCUGUGAUACGUUAAAGUCUGUAACCAUAUCAAUCGAAAAUGGGUGGUUCAUUUUCCCCCUAUUUUCUUCUUUUGAUUUAUGGUAGUUUUUUGCACCAUCGAAAAAAAAAGGCUAAAAAUUUAAAAUUUUAUUUUCUCUUUCUUUUUUCAAUUUAAUCGAAAAAAGAAAAAAAAGAAUUUAAAACAAAAAAAAAUAACCGAGACAUACAACUUUUAACAACGGAUAUCUUGGUUCUCGCAACGAUGACGAGCGCAGCGAAAUGCGAUAAGUAGUGUGAAUUGCAGAAUUCAGUGAAUCAUCGAAACCUUGAACGCAUAUUGCGCCCAUGAGUCCUCUCAUGGGCACACUUGUUCGAGUGCCGACCUAAAUCCUCACAAACAAAAAACAAAAUUCUUUUAUUUUUUUUUUGUUGGUGGUAUUUGGGCGCCUGAUAAGCCAUUAUCAGCCGCUUAAAAAGUGAAAAAAAUUAAAAAAAGGUUUUUUUUUGGUAUGAAAAAAAAGACUACUCUUUUCUUUUUUUUUUCAAUCAUGGGAAGUGCUGUAAGACGUACAUUUUCUACGUGAGAAACACUACCCUAAAUGAUUAAAAAAAAGGGUGUCAACAAAAACCAAAAGAAAUUAUAAAUAAAUCAACAAAAAAAAUAUGGCCUCGAAUCAAGUGAGAUUACCCGCUGAACUUAAGCAUAUUAAUAAGCGGAGGAAAAGAAACUAACUAGGAUUUCCACAGUAACUGCGAGUGAAGUGGAAAAAGCUCAAGCUUAAAAUCUGAGGCGGUUUAACGUCUCCGAAUUGUAGUUUUGUGAACGACUUCACGGGCAAGACUGCCAUGGUCAAAGUUCCCUGGAACGGGACGCCAAAGAAGGUGAUAGCCCUGUAUGCGGCUGUGGAUCUUUUUGGUCUUGUCAAUACGUGCUGUUCGAUUCAAAGAGUCAGGUUGUUUGGGAGUACAGCCUAAAGUGGGAGGUAAAUUCCUUCUAAAGCUAAAUACUGGCGAGAGACCGAUAGCGAACAAGUACCGUGAGGGAAAGAUGCAAAGAACUUUGAAAAGAGAGUUAAAAGUGCUUGAAAUUGUUAAAAGGGAAGCGGUUGGAGGCAGUACCUGCCUGCCAUCAACUCACCUGCCUAAAAUUUGAUAAUAGUGGUGAGGUUAGUGUUCCUUGGUGGAUACCGCCUCAUUAUUAUUUUUGUUGGAUUUAGGUAGGGCAUUUUGGUGGUUUGGUGCGUCAGCAUCGGCGAGGGGGAUUUGCGGGAAAAUGGGGGGGAGAAGGUGCCAUGGCAGUGGUUCUUGUAAUCAUUGUUGUGGGUUAUAGCUCUCUUCAGAUACCGCCGCCUUCGCCGAGGCAGCUAAUUUUGGCUGAUAACCAGCGCUAUGCGGGGUACAGAUGGGGCUGAAGGGUGAUAGCGUUGAGGACAGCUUGCUGUGCUUGAUGACUAUUAUUUUUCACCAUUCAUUUGACCACCUUUGCUGGUUAGUGAUGCUGACCGAAUGUUUCCAACCGUCCCGUCUUGAAACACGGACCAAGGAGUCUAACAUAUGUGCGAGUAACUGGGUGGUAAACCCAUAUGCGUAAUGAAAGUGAGUGGUGGGAACUGGUUUUUUUUCUUAAAAAAAUUAGUGCACCAUCGACCGAUCUGGAUAUUUUUGGAUAGAUUUGAGUAGGAGCACAUCUGUUGGGACCCGAAAGAUUGCGAACUAUGCUUGCAUAGGGUGAAGCCAGGCGAAAGUCUGGUGGAGGCUCGUAGAGAUACUGACGUGCAAAUCGUUCUUCAAAUGUGAGUAUAGCGGCGAAAGACUAAUCGAGCAAUCUAGUAGCUGGUUUCCUC
rnacentral:misc_RNA from 1 species